rnacentral:lncRNA from 1 species
GAAGUAACAAAAGCAAGCCAUUAAGUGUGGAGAUUCCUGAUUGGUUGACUGCUGUAUCUAGUUUAUGCUAAUUAGAUAAGCUGUGUGGAAUGUAUAAAUACUGCUCCUGUCCUGCAAUAAACGGCUCCUACUCCUGCUGUAUCAACGUACACAAGUUAUUUGUCACCCCCCGGGUUAUUUUGCCCAGCCAGCCGGGCUGCGGCAGGAAGGUUAAGUGACUUGCUUC